rnacentral:rRNA from 1 species
GAUGAACGCUGGCGGCGUGCCUAAUACAUGCAAGUCGAGCGAACAGAUGAGGAGCUUGCUCCUCUGACGUUAGCGGCGGACGGGUGAGUAACACGUGGAUAACCUACCUAUAAGACUGGGAUAACUUCGGGAAACCGGAGCUAAUACCGGAUAAUAUAUUGAACCGCAUGGUUCAAUAGUGAAAGACGGUUUUGCUGUCACUUAUAGAUGGAUCCGCGCCGCAUUAGCUAGUUGGUAAGGUAACGGCUUACCAAGGCAACGAUGCGUAGCCGACCUGAGAGGGUGAUCGGCCACACUGGAACUGAGACACGGUCCAGACUCCUACGGGAGGCAGCAGUAGGGAAUCUUCCGCAAUGGGCGAAAGCUUGACGGAGCAACGCCGCGUGAGUGAUGAAGGUCUUCGGAUCGUAAAACUCUGUUAUUAGUGAAGAACAAAUGUGUAAGUAACUAUGCACGUCUUGACGGUACCUAAUCAGAAAGCCACGGCUAACUACGUG